rnacentral:rRNA from 1 species
AGAUUGAACUGAAGAGUUUGAUCCUGGCUCAGAUUGAACGCUGGCGGGAUGCUUUACACAUGCAAGUCGGACGGCAGCACGGGCUUCGGCCUGGUGGCGAGUGGCGAACGGGUGAGUAAUGUAUCGGAACGUGCCCAGUAGCGGGGGAUAACUACGCGAAAGCGUGGCUAAUACCGCAUACGCCCUACGGGGGAAAGCGGGGGACCUUCGGGCCUCGCACUAUUGGAGCGGCCGAUAUCGGAUUAGCUAGUUGGUGGGGUAACGGCCUACCAAGGCGACGAUCCGUAGCUGGUUUGAGAGGACGACCAGCCACACUGGGACUGAGACACGGCCCAGACUCCUACGGGAGGCAGCAGUGGGGAAUUUUGGACAAUGGGGGCAACCCUGAUCCAGCCAUCCCGCGUGUGCGAUGAAGGCCUUCGGGUUGUAAAGCACUUUUGGCAGGAAAGAAACGGCACGGGCUAAUAUCCUGUGCAACUGACGGUACCUGCAGAAUAAGCACCGGCUAACUACGUGCCAGCAGCCGCGGUAAUACGUAGGGUGCAAGCGUUAAUCGGAAUUACUGGGCGUAAAGCGUGCGCAGGCGGUUCGGAAAGAAAGAUGUGAAAUCCCAGGGCUUAACCUUGGAACUGCAUUUUUAACUACCGGGCUAGAGUGUGUCAGAGGGAGGUGGAAUUCCGCGUGUAGCAGUGAAAUGCGUAGAUAUGCGGAGGAACACCGAUGGCGAAGGCAGCCUCCUGGGAUAACACUGACGCUCAUGCACGAAAGUGUGGGGAGCAAACAGGAUUAGAUACCCUGGUAGUCCACGCCCUAAACGAUGUCAACUAGCUGUUGGGGCCUUCGGGCCUUGGUAGCGCAGCUAACGCGUGAAGUUGACCGCCUGGGGAGUACGGUCGCAAGAUUAAAACUCAAAGGAAUUGACGGGGACCCGCACAAGCGGUGGAUGAUGUGGAUUAAUUCGAUGCAACGCGAAAAACCUUACCUACCCUUGACAUGUCUGGAAUCCCGAAGAGAUUUGGGAGUGCUCGCAAGAGAACCGGAACACAGGUGCUGCAUGGCUGUCGUCAGCUCGUGUCGUGAGAUGUUGGGUUAAGUCCCGCAACGAGCGCAACCCUUGUCAUUAGUUGCUACGAAAGGGCACUCUAAUGAGACUGCCGGUGACAAACCGGAGGAAGGUGGGGAUGACGUCAAGUCCUCAUGGCCCUUAUGGGUAGGGCUUCACACGUCAUACAAUGGUCGGGACAGAGGGUUGCCAACCCGCGAGGGGAGCCAAUCCCAGAAACCCGGUCGUAGUCCGGAUCGCAGUCUGCAACUCGACUGCGUGAAGUCGGAAUCGCUAGUAAUCGCGGAUCAGCAUGUCGCGGUGAAUACGUUCCCGGGUCUUGUACACACCGCCCGUCACACCAUGGGAGUGGGUUUUACCAGAAGUAGUUAGCCUAACCGCAAGGGGGGCGAUUACCACGGUAGGAUUCAUGACUGGGGUGAAGUCGUAACAAGGUAGCCGUAUCGGAAGGUGCGGCUGGAUCACCUCCUUU